GAUGGGAGACGUAGCUGCCCACCCCGCACGAAACGACUUUUCCUCCCCACUCACAUCUCCUCCCUCUCUCCCUCGCUUGCACGGGCACACACAGGCAACCGCUCGAGCCUCGAGGAGAGCAGCAGCGACUCGAUGCGGCCGCCGGAGGAGCAGCGGUAGCCUACGUGCUCGUGGUAGAAGCGACCCGCAAUGGAGGAGCUGCAGUGGCCGAUGGCAGCGGACCAGAUCGGCGCAUCACGAGAGCGGACACGGUCACGGGCAGAGCAGAGCCAAGUCGGCGCGGCGACCGGGCGCAAUCUGGAGAACCGGUGGGCGGUGGUGCGCGGUCUGGGCGGGCGCGACGUGCACGAGUUGGCGGCGAGGUGACGGCGUUGACCAGGAUGCCGUCGCAGAUCCUCGUCAUGCCGUCGGGAGAGGAGCUCGUUGAGGAUUCCCGCUUCUCCACGGAUCCACGACGGAGCGAGGUGCUCGAGGAGAAACUUCUUCUCGGGAUGCCAUGGAAAUCGGCAAGUGACUCCAUUUGCCCAUCAGAGAACCAGUGGGUUGAGGCCCUCUUUUAUGCACGACUCCUAUUAAGGCCGGUGUUAUUUUCCGCGAGCCUUCCUCCAUAUGACCUCAGAACAUUUUAACAUAUGCUGAAUAAUGAGGUAUCAUUUUUGGCAGUUCCAAUAUGCAAACUACACGACCGCUGACUAUGCAAAGACCGGAAAAAGGGUCCUUGAGGCUUCAGAUAAUUAAUCAGACGAGUGAUAUCAUUCACACUAUUUUCUGGAGGCCUCUCAAAUCUCACAGUGACAUGGACAAGUGGAUAUAGUACCAAGGAGGCUGCACCGUUUGUUGAAUGGGGCAUACAAGGGCAAAUUCAAAUCCUUUCUCCUGCAAGGCACCCUCAUGUUCAGUCACGACACUAUGUGUGGUGCUAAAACAUGCUUCCAUUUGCCUGACUCGUAUAGCAGAAGCGUUUGCUUCUCCGAAGAAACUGGAUCAAUUGUGCAAUAUGGAUAGGUUGCACAAGCUGCAAGCUUAAUAUGCUUCCAUUUCACUUUUUGUUGCUACUGUAUUAUUUACGCAUAUUUGCUGUUCUGUCAAUAUGUGCAAGUGGGUCUGCAUUGGCAGCUAAAACACCCCUCCUCCAUGGAAUUAGCGGCACACUUAAAGAUAUCCUUUCAGGUUCUGGUUUGGUUGCUGGUACAACUGUAUCCCCCACUAGGUCAGCUGAUCAGGGUCCCUCGCCGCGCCGUGGAUACGGUGACCUCGUCGGAGCAGUGUGCGGACGAGCCACAAGCCGACGUAGACAGUUGCUCCUGUCACGCACACCGGCUGGUUCUGCUCUAGCGAGCCGCCGGCGUCGUUGCCCAUCUUGAUCUCCCCCUGCGACUCCUUCAAGCGAGGGUGCUGGACGCUGAGGACCGGAGAGGAAUCGGUGGAACUGUCAGUCCGUCCACGAUCUAAAGAUGUACUUCUGCACAUCGUAAAAUAGCUAAGUUGCAGGUUGUUAGGAGUACUGUGCUACAGUUCCACUUAUAUGGAAAGAGACCAGAUUCAUUACCGAAAAAGGCUUUCGCCCCGCUUUAUAUAUAAAGCAAAGAUCCACAUCA